rnacentral:rRNA from 1 species
UACGUAGGGGGCAAGCGUUAUCCGGAUUUACUGGGUGUAAAGGGGGCGCAGACGGCGAUGCAAGCCAGGAGUGAAAGCCCGGGGCCCAACCCCGGGACUGCUCUUGGAACUGCGUGGCUGGAGUGCAGGAGGGGCAGGCGGAAUUCCUAGUGUAGCGGUGAAAUGCGUAGAUAUUAGGAGGAACACCAGUGGCGAAGGCGGCCCGCUGGACGAUAACUGACGUUGAGGCUCGAAAGCGUGGGGAGCAAACAGG